rnacentral:rRNA from 1 species
GAUGAACGCUGGCGGCGUGCUUAACACAUGCAAGUCGAACGAGAAUCAACGGAUUGAGGAUUCGUCCAAAUGAAGUUGAGGAAAGUGGCGGACGGGUGAGUAACACGUGAGCAACCUGCCUCUAAGUGGGGAAUAACGGCUGGAAACGGUCGCUAAUACCGCAUAAUAUAGCGGGUCGCAUGACCUUGCUAUCAAAGAUUUAUCGCUUAGAGAUGGGCUCGCGUCCGAUUAGCUAGAUGGUGGGGUAACGGCCCACCAAGGCGACGAUCGGUAGCCGGACUGAGAGGUUGAUCGGCCACAUUGGGACUGAGACACGGCCCAG